UACGGGGGGGGCAAGCGUUGUUCGGAAUUACUGGGCGUAAAGGGCUCGUAGGCGGCCAACUAAGUCAGACGUGAAAUCCCUCGGCUUAACCGGGGAACUGCGUCUGAUACUGGUUGGCUUGAAUCCGGGAGAGGGAUGUGGAAUUCCAGGUGUAGCGGUGAAAUGCGUAGAUAUCUGGAGGAAUACCGGUGGCGAAGGCGGCAUCCUGGACCGGCAUUGACGCUGAGGAGCGAAAGCUAGGGGAGCAAACGGG
rnacentral:rRNA from 1 species